rnacentral:lncRNA from 1 species
AAUUAUAAGACCAAUUGCAUUAUUUCUCUUUUAAUUUCUAGUUUCCAAAAAUGAUUUUUAAUAUUUUUUAUUUUAUCAUUUGAUAUUUUUUUAUGAAUUUUCUAUUUUCUGGUUAUUUUUAAUUCAUUUUAAAUAGUUUUUGAUAUUAAAAAAAUAAAAAAAUAUUUUCUCAACCUCUUUGAAUGAUGAUGGAUCUAUGAAAAAUAUUAUCAUCAAUUUAUUAAUUGAUUUGAGAUUUAUUUGAGAUUUUAGUUCAAUUAGGUUAAAUUUAUGCAUUUUUAA